GCUUUGGAGAGUGAGCCUUUGUGACUCCGCACUCUUGGACAGUAGCAUCCAGCAACACAGGAGACUUUGGGGAGGGAGAGGAAAAGACACAGCCUCCCAGAAAGCCCGCAAACCCAGAAAAAAUAAAGCAUAAAGCUGCACCGUUCAGAAGAAGCAAGACUGUCUUUCCUUACAGCUACGAUGCUGCACCGCUUUCGACACAGCGUGCUUUUCCCCGCGUUUACCUGGGCGACUGCUGCUCUUUCUGCUGCUGCUGGGGCUGCUGCAGUCUUGCUGCCUGCGCUUCACCCUGGUUUGACUGACUCGAAACUCUCUCGUCUGCACAUUGCUAAGGAAGAAGAACGAUGGAGCCGCAUUUUUUUUUUGUUGGCUCUGGAAGCAAAGGGUUGCAAUAUGUGAUGAUUUUGGGAUUUUCUUUGGUGGGGGGGAAGGAGGAGAAAAGAAGGGUGUUAAUCUAGGAUGGGGUGGGUGAAAGCUUAAAGAAAUAUUAUGUAAAGUAAUCCAGUGCUCGACAAGGGCAUCAGCAACAAGAAUCCAGCCUCUGCUGCUCCAGAGGAUUAACAUGGGGAAGCCACAGUGCUGCAGUCAGGUUUCACCUCAGUGUUGUGCUGGAGACGGAUAAAUAAGGUAUCGGUUGCAUCUGCCUGAUAAGGCAAAGCCAAAGGGAGAAGGAGAGAGCGAGCAAAUGCAAAUGCAAAGGAAGAAGAAACGCUACGUGCCGUUUGUCUGAUUCUGUGGAUUCUCAUUGUAGAGAGGAUGGCUUGAUUAACAAAGCAAUGUAUGGACCGAGGGACUGUAAAUCGUAGCUUGAACACUCCUGGUGCUGUCAAGGAGUGAACUGAUGAGUUAGGUGGCUGCAGGAAUAUCCCCAGGGAAAACAGCAGCCACUCACUCCGUGUAUAUCUGUGUAUGUAUGUGCUUUUGUGUGUGUGUGAACAUGUAUGGAAAUGAAAGCAAGACAUUUCUGACCAAUUUACAGAGGACGUUUGUCACUUUGCUGGGUCAGACCUGAUUGCAGCUUGUAUUUUCAGCUAUAGCUCUACACCCAUUUCCUGACUGAGGUGGCACUUUGUGAAAACAGAUGGUAGGCAGUAUUCUUUUAGGAAAUAUGAAAGCAGAUCCUUUCUGCUUAACACCUUAAAGCACUGAAUCUUUUGCUCUGUGCUGAGAAAAACCAUGGGGCUUCGUUUUCUCCAUCUUAAAAUCUCUAUAAACACAGCUGUAUUCAGUAUGGUGAAAAGUUCUAUACUGUAAAUAGAAAUGUGAUCAAUCUAAUCAAAAUAAAUGCAUCCCAGAUGACUUCUA